AACCUUUUUUCCCCUGUUCACUGUUGAAAUUAGCAUGUUAGUCGUCUGGAAUCACUGCUGGAAGCAAAUAAAUCAUUAACGACGUCAGAUCUUCACGAUAGUGGAGUAAGGACUCUAUGCAUCAGCGAACCGCAACCUAUAAACCUCGAUAAGGUUCGUUUAUGGCUGGAGGAAAUUCUGUGGGAUAAGAAAUUGGAGAUGGAUAUAUACCGUUGCAAGGCUGUGUUGAGCAUUCAAAACUCAGAACAGCUGCAUAUAUUGCAGGCUGUUAGAGAGAUAUAUGAGAUUGUGCCAGCGCGAAAAUGGAGCGAGGGAGAGAGCCGGACGAACAAAAUAGUAUUUAUAGGUCAUAUCUCCUUUUUUGCAUCAUUGCUCCCAACAAUCUUUUGUUUUCUCUCUGUUUGCUGAUUCAAGUAACUGAAUAUAUAGAAGCGGACUAAGAGAUUGCAGCCCCUAAAGGAAAACGCAAACUUGCAGUGACACAACCAGAUUGGUCUAUUUUGGUUUUUCCCGCAUCUGGCUUUUAAGUUUUACCGUCAUGCACAAUACUUUUUAUAUCAAUCGUUAACUUGAUCAGUUUAUGUAUUAUAAAUAUGUAACAACUGUGUAAGGUUAUUUAGUUAGUUGUUUCAGUUAACGUUUUUA